rnacentral:rRNA from 1 species
GAUGAACGCUGGCGGCGUGCCUAAUACAUGCAAGUCGAACGAAUCUUCUUCGGAAGAUGAGUGGCGAACGGGUGAGUAAUACAUAGGUAACCUGCCCCUGUGCGGGGGAUAACAGGAGGAAACUCCUGCUAAUACCGCAUAGCCAUGAGCACCGCAUGGAGCUCAUGCCAAAUAUCCUUCAGGGGAUAGCGCUGGGAUGGACCUAUGGCGCAUUAGCUAGUUGGCAGGGCAACGGCCCACCAAGGCAACGAUGCGUAGCCGGCCUGAGAGGGCGGACGGCCACAUUGGGACUGAGACACGGCCCAGACUCCUACGGGAGGCAGCAGUAGGGAAUUUUCGGCAAUGGGGGAAACCCUGACCGAGCAACGCCGCGUGAGCGAAGAAGGCCUUCGGGUCGUAAAGCUCUGUUGUAAAGGAAGAACGUCGCAUGCAGGAAAUGGUGUGCGAGUGACGGUACUUUACCAGAAAGCCACGGCUAACUACGUGCCAGCCGCCGCCGUAAAAC